rnacentral:rRNA from 1 species
UGGGGAAUAUUGGACAAUGGGCGCAAGCCUGAUCCAGCCAUGCCGCGUGAGUGAUGAAGGCCCUAGGGUUGUAAAGCUCUUUCACCGGUGAAGAUAAUGACGGUAACCGGAGAAGAAGCCCCGGCUAACUUCGUGCCAGCCGCCGCGGUAAUACGAAGGGGGCUAGCGUUGUUCGGAUUUACUGGGCGUAAAGCGCACGUAGGCGGACUAUUAAGUCAGGGGUGAAAUCCCGGGGCUCAACCCCGGAACUGCCUUUGAUACGGGUAGUCUUGAGUGCGAGAGAGGUGAGUGGAAUUCCGAGUGUAGAGGUGAAAUUCGUAGAUAUUCGGAGGAACACCAGUGGCGAAGGCGGCUCACUGGCUCGAUACUGACGCUGAGGUGCGAAAGCGAGGGGAGCAAACAGG